AUCCUCUCCAUGGCCUGCCGCUAGGGUUUUCAGUUGUGGUUCUUGUUUGCGAGAUAGAAGCGUAAGCAGCGGCUACCCUAACCUCGUCCUCCUCUCUACUAAAUUCAGCUAUGGCCGACGAAGCUGUGGUUGUUCUAGAUGACAUUUACCCUUUGCUGAAGUUGAAUAUGGCGGCGAGGAACGCUGAGAAGCAGAUCCCGCCAGAGCCGCACUGGGUGUUCUGCUACACAAUGCUCCAUAAGGUUUCUUGAAGUUUCACCCUCGUCAUUCACCAACUCGGCACCGAGCUUCGUAACGCCAGGAUGAUAGUAGCAUAGAAACAGAUGUCAAGGUGCCAAUACUGAUAGCCUUUCACCGUCAUAUUUAUCAUC